rnacentral:lncRNA from 1 species
GCCAGCCUACGCCAGAGCCACAGCAACGCCAGAUCCGAAUUGUGUGUGCAACCCACACCACAGCUCACGGCAAUGCCGGAUCCUUAACCCACUGAGCAAGGCCAGGGACCAAACCCACAACCUCAUGGUUCCUAGUGGGUUUCGUUUCUGCUGCGCCACGACAGGAACUCCUGUUGCUCUUUUCAAAGAACCAGCUUUUCGUUUCAUUAAUCUUUUCUAUGGUUUGGUUCCUUUUUUAUUUCAUUGAUUUCUGCUCUGAUCUUUAUGAUUCCUUUCCUCCUACUAACAUUAGGUCUUGUCUGUUCUCUCGCGAGCUGCAUGAGAUGUAAAGUUAGGUUGUUUAUUUGAGCUUUUUCUUGUUUCCUGAGGUGGGCGGGCUUGUCUUGCUAUAAACUUUCCUCUUAGAACGGCUUUUGCUGCAUCCCAUAGGUUUUGGAGUGUCGUCUCUUCAUUGUCAUUGGCUUCUGGGAAUUUUUAAAUUUCCUCUUUGAUUUCUUCAGUGAUCCAUUGGUUGUUUAGUAGCAUGUUGUUUAGUCUCCACGUGUGUGUUUUUUGCGGAUUUUUUUCUUGUUGUUGAUUUCCAGUCAUUUAGCGUUGGGGUCGGAAAAGAUGCUUGAUAUGAUUUCAGUUUUCUUAAAGUUACCGAGGUUUGCUUUGUAGCCCAGGAUGGGAUCAAUCUUAGAGAACGUUCCAUGUGCACUUGAGAAGAAUGUGUGUUCCGUAGCUUCUGGAUGGAAUGUCCUAUAAACAUCUAUGAAGUCCAUCUGGUCUAAUGCUUCAUUCAGAACCUGUGUUUCUGUAUUGAUUUUCUGUCUGGAUGAUCUGUCCAUUGCUGUAAGUGGGGUGUUAAAGUCCCCCGCUAUGACUGUGUUAUUGUUGAUUUGCCCUUUUAAGGUUAUUAGCAGUUGCCUUACAUAUCGUGGUGAACCUAGGUUGGGUGUGUGGAUAUUUAAAAUUGUUUUAUCUUCUUCUUGGAUUGAUCCUUGGAUCGUUAGGUAGUGACCUUGCUUGUCCCUUAAAAUGUUCUUCAAUUUAAAGUCUAUUUUGUCUGAUAUGAGUAUUGCUACUCCAGCUUUCUUUUGAUUCCCGUUUGCAUGGACUAUUUUCUUCCAUCCUCUCCCUUUCAAUUUGUCUGUGUCCCUAGGAGUGAAGUGGGUCUCUUGAAGACAGCGUAUAUAUGGGUCUUGAUUUUGCAUCCAUUCAGCCAGUCUCUGUCUUUUGGCUGGGGCGUUUCAUCCAUUAACACUUAAGGCAAUUAUUAUUAUUUUGUUGUUGUCUUUUUGCCAUUUCUUGGGCCGCUCCCGAGCAUAUGGAGGUUCCCAGGUUAGGGGUCGAGUUGGAGCUUUAGCUGCUGGCCUACACCAGAGCCACAGCAACGCGGGAUCUGAGCCGCGUCUGCGACCUGCACCGACCUGCACCACAGCUCGCGGCCAGGCUGGAUCCUUAACCCUCUGAGCAAGUCCAGGGGUCAAACCCACAACCUCAUGGUUCCUAGGUGGAUUCGUUAACCACUGAGCCAUGAUGGGAACUCCUUGAGGUAAUUAUUGAUAGGUAUGUUCUCAUUGCCAUCGUAUUCAUUGCUUUGGAUUUGUUUUUGUUGCUCUUUUUUCUUCCCUUCUUCUCUUGUUCUCUCCUCUUGUGGUUUGAGGACCAUCUUUAGUGUUGUACUUCAGUUGAUUUUUCUUAUUUGUUUGUGUAUCAAUUGUAGACUUUUGGUUUGCAGUUAUUCUGGAGUUUUGAUGUAACAGCCUCUAUAGAUACGAGAUUGUCUCAAGUCGUUGGUCUCUUAAUUGCAAGUGCAUCUCCAGUGUCCUGCAUUUGUACCCUCCUCGUCUCACAAUUUCGGAUGGUGGUGGCAUAGUUGUGCAUGGAUGAUUUUGUGUCUUUACUGUAUAUAUACGUUUACUGGUGAGUCUUGUCAUUGGUGGUAUUUUUGUUUCUGAUUGCGGCCUUUUCUUUUCUGUCUAGAGAAGUUCCUUUAGUACUUGUCGUAAAGCUGGUUUAGUGGUGCGGAAUUCUCUCAGCUUUUGCUGAUCCGUGAAGCUUUUGAUUUCUCCUUCAAGUCUGAAUGAGAGCCUUGCUGGGUAAAGUAAUCCUGGUUGGAGGUCUUUUCCUUUCAACACGUUAAGUAUAUCAUGCCACUCCCUUCUGGCCUGCAGAGUUUCUGCUGAAAAAUCUGGGGAUAACCUUACCGGGCUUCCCUUGUAUGUUAUUUGUUUCUUUUCCCUAGCUGCUUUCAAGAUUGUCUCUUUGUCUUUAAUUUUGGUCAGCUUGAUUAAUAUGUGUCUCGGGGUGUUCCUCCUUGGGUUUAUUUUAUAUGGUACUCGCUGCGCUGCCUGGAUUUGAGUGAGUGGUUCCUUUCCCAUGUGAGGGAAGUUUUCGGCUAUUAUCUGUUGGAGUGCUUUCUCUGUCCGCUUCUCUCUCUCUUCUCCUUCUGGCACCCCAUAAUAAGGAUGUUGGUGCGUUUAACGUCGUCCCAGAGUUCUCUGAGACUCUUCAUUUGUUUUCAAUCUUUUUUCUCUUUUCUGUUCCGCAUCCGUGAUUUCCACUAAUCUGUCCUCCACCUCGCUUCUUUGUUCUUCUGCCUCCUGGAUUCUGCUGUUGGUUGCUUCUAGUGAAUUUUUUUAUUUCAGUUAUUGAUUUUGCAUCUCUUCUUAAGUUUCAUAUCUUGUAUCUCUUUGCUCGGUGUUUCCUGAAAGUUAUCCAUCUUUGCCUCCAGUUUAUUUCCAAUGUCUUGCAUCCUCUUCAGCAUCUUUUUCCUGGAGGCUGAGACUCUCCUGACCCCUUAGCUGAUUUUCUGGGGGUUUUCCUUUCUCCCUCCUCUGAGUUAUACUUCUCUGUCUUUUCAUUUUUAUUCGUUUUUGGUGUGGUGACCUUUUUACAGAUAAUAGAGCUGUAGCCUCUCUCACUUCUGGUGUCCGCCCCCCUGGUGGCUGAAGUUGGUAUGGGGGCUUGCUGUAGGCUUCCUGAUGGGGGAGGGACUGGUGCCUGCCCACUGGUAGGUGGCCUGAUUCCUAUCCCUCUGGUGUGUGGGGCUUUAUCUCUGGAUGGGAUUAGAGGCGGCUGUGUGCCAGGGGGGCCUUUAGGAAGCCUGUUUACUGCUGGGUGGGGCUUUGAUCCCACCUGGAUUGUUGUUUGGCCUGGGGCUUCUCAGUGCUGAUGGGAGGGGCCAUAUUUUCCCAAAAUGGCCACCUCCAGAGAAAGGCACACUGCAGAAUAUUCCCCAGAGCUUUGCUUCCAAUGUCCUUUUCCCACAGCAACCCACAUUCACCCCUGUUUUCCCAGGAGGUCCUCAAAGAACUGCAGUCCGGUUUGACCCAGAUUCCCGUGGAGACUUUGCUUUGUCCUGGGACCCAAGAAUGGGGUCUCCGUUUCCCCCAGUCCCGUGGAGCUCCUGUGCACAAGCCCCACUGGCCUUCAACGCCAGAUGCUCUGGG